rnacentral:rRNA from 1 species
GAUGAACGCUGGCGGCGUGCCUAAUACAUGCAAGUCGAGCGAACAGACGAGGCGCUUGCUCCUCUGACGUUAGCGGCGGACGGGUGAGUAACACGUGGAUAACCUACCUAUAAGACUGGGAUAACUUCGGGAAACCGGAGCUAAUACCGGAUAAUAUAUUGAACCGCAUGGUUCAAUAGUGAAAGACGGUUUUGCUGUCACUUAUAGAUGGAUCCGCGCCGCAUUAGCUAGUUGGUAAGGUAACGGCUUACCACGGCAACGAUGCGUAGCCGACCUGAGAGGGGGAUCGGCCACAUGGGAACUGAGACACGGACCAGACUCCUACGGGAGGCAGCAGUAGGGAAUCUGCCGCAAUGGGCGAAAGCCUGACGGAGCAACGCCGCGUGAGUGAUGAAGGUCUUCGGAUCGUAAAACUCUGUUAUUAGGGAAGAACAAAUGUGUAAGUAACUAUGCACGGCUUGACGGUACCUAAUCAGAAAGCCACGGCUAACUACGUG